AUAAAGCCCACGGGCCUUGCUUCAUGCAAAUGGCCCUCUCCGCUUUAUUUCGCCGGGAACUGUUACCUUGACAAGUUAGCUUUUCCGGUUGGGAACGACCCAUCAAGGUCACAGUGUUGGGGAAACUGUCCCUUCUGGUUUUCUUCUCUAUCUGGAAAUUCCACCUUCUCUGCUGAGUGAGAUAGCUUCCUAAAACCUCAUGCCUGCUCUGCCUCUGUUUUCCCAUUCAAAUCCAUGAGAUGAGACCAAUUCAACUUCCUGAGCCGCCUAGCCCUACCUCCAGGGGUACGCCGGACAUCUUCGAAUCUGGAAUCCACAGCGUUGUCAGACGCGCUGUCGUCAUUGGAAACGGAUUUCCUAGUUCCGAGAAUCAGAGCAUCGGAUUAGUUCGCGCCCUUGGCCUCUCUGAUCAACAUGUCUUAUACCGGGUUACCAGGCCAAAGGGAGGGGUUAACGAUUGGCUUCGCUGGCUUCCUGUCUCUUUUCACAGAAAAAUAUAUUAUUUAAUAAGGCUGAUUCAUGGCUAUUCUCAACUACUCACGAAAUCACAGGAAAAGAAGUUAAUGCCCCUACCUUCAGAAAAUGGUGUUGGCUUAUCAGCUAUUUUAGAAGCAGAUGUGAAGCAUAUAGUAAAUUUGGCUCGUGAAACUUAUGAGAAGGAGGGCCCCUUACUGGUGGUUGCAUCUGGAAGAGAUACAAUUUCUGUUGCUAGCUCAAUCAAACGCUUGGCAUCUGACAAUGUUUUUGUUGUUCAGAUACAACAUCCAAGGUCACAUUUGGAUAGGUUUGACAUGGUGAUUACACCUAAACAUGAUUAUUAUCCUUUGACUCCACAAGCACAAAAACAGGUCCCUUGGUUUAUUCAAAAGUGGAUAACUCCACGUGAGCCUCCUGAUAGUCAUGUGGUUCUCACAAUGGGGGCCCUGCAUCAAAUAGAUUUUGCUGCUCUUCGUAAUGCGGCCAUUACAUGGCGGGAUGAUUUUGAACAUGUGCCUAGACCCUUGCUCGUGGUCAACAUUGGAGGACCAACAAGAAACUGUCGAUAUGGUGGGGAUCUCGCAAAGCAGUUAGCAAGGUCUUUGCUCAGUGUUCUUGUUUCCUGUGGGAGUGUGAGAAUAUCCUUCUCUGAGAGGACUCCGCAAAAGCUGUCAAAUAUCAUAGUGAAGGAAUUGGGAAAUAAUCCAAAAGUUUAUAUAUGGGAUGGCCAAGAACCAAACCCCCGUAUGGGGCAUCUAGCUUGGGCCGAUGCAUUUGUUAUCACUGCAGAUUCAGUUAGUCUGAUAAGCGAGGCUUGCAGCACUGGGUAUGCCCGUGAAAAAGCAUCUGAAGCCUGUCUAUGUUAUGGGAGCUGAGCGAUGCAGGUGGAAGUUCACAGAAUUUCACAAGUCAUUGAGAGAGAAAGGAGUCGCUCGGCCAUUCACAGGGUCUGAAGAUAUGAAAGAAAGUUGGAGCUAUCCGCCCCUUAACGAUACUGCUGAUGCUGCUAAAAGGGUUCGUGAAACGCUUGCUUCGCGAGGGUGGAAACUGAAGACGACGUAGAAAGUAUAAUUUUUUUUGCGCGGGUACAGUAGAGUUCAAUUUGAGUGUGAAAUAAUACGCGUUUUUUAGGGCCUCCUAUUAGGGGGCAUUAAUUUUUUUUUUUCUUUUUUGGAACAUGCAAAAGCAUGAAUUUUCUUUGAUAGCAUGAAUAGGAUAUACAGAUGGCGUGCCCUGAUUCUUCAACCCUAACAAUUUUUAAGCGGAUGUAUUAUAGAGCAUACGAUCUUGCAUUUAUGGAGGAGGAGCUUCUAUGUAUGGCAGUUUUGUAAAUGGGGUGAAUAAAAUUGUUUUUGAGGAAA